rnacentral:rRNA from 1 species
GAACCGUCCAAACGUUAUUCGGAAUCACUGGGGCUUAAAGGGGUGCGUAGGCGGCGCGGUUAGUCGGAUGUGAAAUCGUACAGCUCAACUGUACAACUGCGUCCGAAACUGCCGUGCUCGAGGAAGGCAGAGGUGAGCGGAACUCAGGGUGGAGCGGUGAAAUGCGUUGAUAUCCUGGGGAACACCGGUGGCGAAGGCGGCUCACUGGGCCUUUUCUGACGCUGAGGCACGAAAGCUAGGGUAGCGAACAGGAUUAGAUACCCUGGUAGUCCUAGCUGUAAACGAUGAGCACUAGAUCGAGGAGACUUCCACAUCUUCUCGGUCGUAGCGAAAGUGUUAAGUGCUCCGCCUGGGGAGUAUGGUCGCAAAGGCUG